rnacentral:rRNA from 1 species
GACGAACGCUGGCGGCGUGCUUAACACAUGCAAGUCGAACGGUAAGGCCCUUCGGGGUACACGAGUGGCGAACGGGUGAGUAACACGUGGGUGAUCUGCCCUGCACUUCGGGAUAAGCCUGGGAAACUGGGUCUAAUACCGGAUAGGACUCCUGGCUUCAUGGUUGGGGGUGGAAAGCUUUUGCGGUGUGGGAUGGGCCCGCGGCCUAUCAGCUUGUUGGUGGGGUAAUGGCCUACCAAGGCGACGACGAGUAGCCGGCCUGAGAGGGUGACCGGUCACACUGGGACUGAGAUACGGACCAGACUCCUACGGGAGGCAGCAGUGGGGAAUAUUGCACAAUGGGCGCAAGCCUGAUGCAGCGACGCCGCGUGAGGGAUGACGGCCUUCGGGUUGUAAGCCUCUUUCAGCUAUGACGAAGCGCAAGUGACGGUAGUAGCAGAAGAAGGACCGGCCAACUACGUGCCAGCCGCCGCGGUAA